AGCUCCAAUAGCGUAUAUUAAAGUUGUUGCGGUUAAAAAGCUCGUAGUUGGAUUUCUGCUGAGGACUAUCGGUCCGCCUUCUGGGUGAGCAUCAGAUGUGACCUUGGCAUCAUCUUAGGGAACAUGCUGCACUUGACUGUGUGGCGUGGUAUCUUAGACAUUUACUUUGAGGAAAUUAGAGUGUUAAUUGCAGGUAUAUGCCUUGAAUACAUUAGCAUGGAAUAAUAAUAUAGGACCCUGUCUU
rnacentral:rRNA from 1 species